UGGCUCCGGACCAACCCUUAGUAAUAGAGUAAAGAAAUCUCCGUUGCCUCCUAUCUGAUUUUCUUUACAAAGACGUUUUAGAGUCUUGUUAGAAGCAACAAUGUCAAGCACAGAGCCUCUGUCGAUCAAUCAUAACACAAACUCAUACACAGAAAACUGUUGGCCUCUCAAUGCAUUACAGAUUUCUCCAUAUGUAUGGAGAAUCACGUGGACACGGUCCGAAUCAACCAAACAAGUCAGCAUUCUAGACAACGCAUACGGAGACACCGGAACUCCCAAUUUAUACAUACGAAUGAAUGUAUCAACAGACGAAUCCAACAUCCCAUUUCGACAAAAAAUCUCGAUCAGAAACCUACAAACGAGACUAUAAACGCAACUGUGGUUCUGAAAACAAUCAGAAAAUGCAUCAAAGAAGUGAAACUGAGUCCCGAACUGGCCUACCGAUGUUUUUGAAAAGGCGGGAAACCGGAGCGAGCAUCCGGUGCCGGAGCAGCAGAUGAAGGAGGGCGCAGAAGGACUGCGGGUGGUGGUGCAAGCCGAGGGAGCCGCAGGCCCAAUCGAGGAAGCGGAGGGCGGUAAUGGGGUUGGAUUGGAAGGAGAGGAGGAUGGGGUGGAGGUGGUGGAGGUGGUGGGGUUGUAAUUUGGAGUGAAAAAGAGGGUUUAAGAGUUUGGGGUGGUCUUGGAGGAAGGCGUUGGAGAUGUGGUGGAUCUGGGUUUUGGAUGAGAAUAAGGGCGAAGUCGAGUAGGGAAGGAGAAAGCGGCACGCGACGUUGAAAUUGUCGGUGUUUGGGGACUUGAAGUCGAUAAAGUCGAUGGGGGUUCAGAGGAGAAGCACUUGCCAGCAUGACAUACGUUGCUCAGGUCACCGUCACCACCAUCACCAAGGGCCAGUUGCAUGGUUAUAGGUGUGUGCCCAUUACCUGUUUGAUGAAAUGCCCAGAAAAUUAUAUGAUUUGUUCAUAGAAAGAAAUGGUCUUUUGAAUUUUUAUUUAAGUGAUACAUUACUAUUUAAUAUUGAAAUUCUAAUUUGGUGGAUUCACUUGUAGCAGUUUAAUUUUAAAAUGUAUCCCCAUAAACUCAAAUAAAUAAAUAAAUAAAUAAGGUUUAAACGAAAAAAAGCAAAUGAUCAUUUUGCUGGCGUCGAAUGUCUGGAGAACGUGAUGAAUUACUUUCUAUGUUUUGGGUUCAAUGAGAUGAAAUUAUCUUUACUGGUGAAUUAAGUGGUGGUACUUGUUAUGAGAUUGAGAACUUGUUCUAUAACAUGACUGCCCGGAGGAAGAUGUUACAAAAUUCUGCUGAUGGUUACUCAAAGAUUGUAGAUUUGCUAAGCCGGUUUGCAAUUCAUCAUAUGAAUGUUGGCUUCUCCCGCAGAAAGGUAGGUUGCUGUUUAACUAAGAAACUCGUCUUUCUUACUUCACCGAUCUUUUUCAUGGCUAGAACUAACUGCAAAUUCACAAAUUAAAUCUUUUUGUGUGCUAUUACUAUUGGCACAGAGCUGCCAGAGUAGAUGUUAAUUCUGCUUCCAUGACAUCACUGAUUGAUGCAAUUCGUUCAGUUUAUAUGGGGUGUCAGUUGCUCAGUCUGAUGAAAGUAGAUGCUUCAGCGAAGAGCUCAUGUAUCAGCAAGUUCUGCGUAGGUUUGCCUAUUUUAAUGCUAUACAAAUAAGUGAGCCCGCCCCGCUGAAGGAGUUGAUCGUGUUGGCACUAAAAGAGGGGGAGGAUCCGGAAUGCAGUGUGAAUAAUGAACCGAAUGAGAAGAUUGCAGAGGAGAUGACAUUGUCAUGACAGAAAAUGAAAUUGAGCAUGAACUAGUUGCAGAGGCAGAGAGUGCAUGGGCUCUGCGUGAAUGGUCAAUCCAGCAUGUUUUGUUUCCAUCAAUGAGGUUCUCUUUCAAGCCACCAAAUUCCAUGGCUACAAACGGAGCAUUUGUCCGGGUAGCUUCAUUGGAGAAACUAUACAGGACUUUCGGAAGAUGCUGACUCCAUCCAUCAGUGGCAAACGGCAGUACACAGAAGGCCCUUGGUUUUGUAUAGAUGGUAGACGCCAUUCAUCGGUAUAAUUUUGGGAGAAAAUACUAGUUCUGUCCAUGUCAACAGGCAUUUGUUUUCUUCUCUGAAGGGUUAGGGUGUACAUUACAAUUAGUAAAAUCGAUAAAAUUACUUGAGUUUUGAAAGUGGCCUUCAUUUUUCUUAAUGCCAAAAUGCACAAGUUCAAUCUGACGUUGGUUUUCUGCCAAUCCCGGAGUUCCUCCAGCGCUUUCCAGAUAUUAGAACUAAAAUACUCACCCGUACCCCUGAGUUGUGCGCACAACCCAAGUAGAUAGUGUAUUGAAGGGCGGAUGCACAUUGGGAUCAAGGUGGUCCCAGGACCACUUAAGCCGGGAAACAAGCAUGUGAAGGUUCUUCAAGGACCAUCCAAAAAUAUUCAUGAGUUUCUUUGUUUCCUGGG